rnacentral:lncRNA from 1 species
CUUGCUAGAGUGAUAUGGGACUAUUGCAUGAGACCAAGAGAUUUCUAACGAAGAAUUUCGAAAUGAAAGAUCUUGGGGAAGCUUCUUUUGCAUUAGGUAUUCGGAUACUGAGAGAUUAUGAUACCUCUAUAGCUAUAGGAGACAAGUUUAGUCUCGAACAGUGCCCCAACAAUGACCUUGAAAGAUACUAGAUGCAAAAGAUUCCUUAUGCAUCUAGAGUAGGAAGUCUAUUGUAUGCUCAAGUUUGCACACGUCCCGACAUAACAUUUGUUGUGGGAGUUUUGGGCAGAUAUUUGAGUAGUCUUGGAAUGCAUCAUUGGAAGGCAGUCAAACGUGUUAUGCAUUACUUGAAGAGAAUAAAGGAGUACAUGCUCACUUAUUGGAGGUUUGAGAAUUUAGAGAUUAUUGGGUACUCAGACUCUGAUUUGUUGGAUGUCUAGAUAGUAGACACUCCACCUCUAGAUAUGUGUUUGUAUUGGCUGGAGGUGCUAUCUCUUGGAAGUCUACGAAACAUACGCUUAUAGCUCCUUCAACCAUGGCUGUGAAGUUCAUGACUUGUUUUGAAACAUCAGACCAUGGCAUAUAGUUGCGAAAUUUUGUUACUAGCUUACAUGUGGUCGAUGAUAUUGAAAGACCAUUGAGGACUUAUUGUGACAACAAUCCGCGGUUCUUUACUCCAACAACAAUAGAAGUUCUACAAAGUCAAAAUUCAUUGAGAUAAUGUUUCUGGUUGUUAAAGAAAUUGGUCAAAAUGGACAAGUUUCCAUAGAACAUAUAGGGACAAAUUUUAUGCUAGCUGAUCCACUGACUAAAGUUUUGGUACCUAAAGUCUUUCAUGAGCAUGUUGCUCAUAUGGGUGUUGUUCCUUAGGGUACCUUAGUUCAGUGGGAGUCUAUAUGUUUUAUAAUUUACUUUAGAUAUUAUAUACAGUUUUUUAUGCAGAUAAAGUUGAUGGUUUAUCGUUCCAUUUUGAAAUUGUGCAUUGUAACUAUUGUGUUGCAAUUAAAGACUUUGGAAUGAUCUUACUAAUGAAUAAAGAAGGACCAGUUGGAAAUAGACGUGUUUGAGAUCACAUUGUAUGAAAUUUCCAUGUCACUCAUCCAUAUUUGAUAUUUGUCAUUUAGUAUAUUGGUAUGGUGAUCAUCGUGGUUAAGUCACGUUUGAAUGUGAUGGAAGUCGCGGUGGUUCCAUAGUUGAUAUAUGAGAUGGACCAGAUUGUAUUAAGUUGAAGUCUAAAUAUAAAUAGCAUACAGAUGCGCACCUAAAGAAUAUGUGAUAUAAUUGUUCCAAGAAAAAUAUGAAGCCCAAGUGGGAGAUUGUUAUAAAUUCAUCUAUAUUGUAAGGAAAUAGUAGGUCAUGAACAACCCUUAGAAACAACCCUUAACUACCUAUGCAACAACUAUAUUGUAGCCAUAUUGUGGGUAAAACAACCCAUAGAAAUUUCUAGAAAGAAACCCUUAAAAUACUUUCAAUAGCCCCCCUCAAGAUGGAGAGUAAAUGUUAAUAACUCCAGCUUGAUAUCUUGAUUUGAAACCAUAAAAAUGCGAUGGAUCAGAAUCUCGAUCCUAAUGUGAUUGGAUUCCAAAUCACCUGGUUAUAUUCUUGGUCUGAAAUCUUGACUAUAUUUUCAUGGAAUCUCAUGUAUCUACAUUGUUAGAGCUUCAUAGUUGUUAAAUACACACUAUGAUGAAGUUGUGUGUGUGAGGAAGAGAUUGGUAGAGUAUGAAAUAAUAUAUCUUUUAACAAAUUCAAUAACGUACUUUUCAGCUUCCUUUUCACUAAUUGUACUUCCAAGCACCUUUUUUUUCCAACCCACUAGCUUCAUGGUGACUUUAAUCUUAUUCAUCUUCUCCAUCGUAAUUUUCUCUUGGAGUGAAGCAAUCUCUACAUCUUUGUGUGAAGAAGAUUUUGCUCCUGACUUUGACACGAUUUUGAUGAAGACACAAACAUCACAUAAAGAAGAAAAGGAACAAUAUUAAUGAAGAUUAUGAAGAUAAAGCUUCAAGAAAUUAGAGUCUAAAGUCUAUAGGUACUUAUAUCCUUAUACUCUAUAAUAUACAAUUACUAGUAAUGCUCAAAAGUAUUUUAAAAGAAAAUUGAAAACUACAAGUAUAAAUGAAAACAAUUUUCAAAAUACUGUGUAAGAGGUUACUAGAUCUAAGUAAUAGGUUAUUGGAUCUAAGUAACAGGUUACCAGAACUAAGUAACAAGUUACAUGAGUGAGAAACGAGUUACCCAACAAAAACUGAACAAGGUAAUCGAUUACACUCAUUUGAGUAACCGAUUACACAUUGUAGUAAUCAAGUGCUCAGUUGAACAGAAAGUUUGGGUAAUCGAUUACAUCCUGUGGGUAACUGAUUACACAGUGUGAUAAUCAGUUAUUCAGUUGGACAUAAUAUUUGGGUAAUCGAUUACAUCCUUUGGGUAAUCGAUUACAAAGUGUGAUAAUCAAUUACUCAGUUGGACAGAAUGUUUGCAUAAUCGAUUACGUCAAUGCUGUAAUCGAUUACUGAGAGUUGUUGCACCAGUUUUCAUAUUCAAAAUGCACAACUUUCACCCCAAACGAAAUGGUUUCAUUCCAAUUGAAUCCUACCUUUUAAUAAAGGUGUUAUGGCUGGUUGGAAAACCUAUUUAAAGGCAUUGAAACUCGUAAUUCACUACACAACUCAUAUACACAAUCUAAACUUUUUCUGAAAUACUUUCUGCAACUUAUUCUUAAACUUUCAGAUAAAAUUUUCUGAAGUUGCCUUAAGUGUGGUUUCAAAGUUUCUCAAACCUUCUGAGCAUUAUUAUUAAGUGUAUACAAAGAGUUACUGGAUUGCAAGAAAUCAUUGUGUAAAAUCUUGUAAAGGCAAUCCUUGUCAUAGUUAAAGUUUUCUUGAUUCAAAGUGUUGAAUUACUUUCUUUCACAAGGGUGUGGUAAGAAAGGGGAUAAUGUCACUCGGAAAUGUUAUUUUCCAAAGAGUGACAUAGGUAUUAGAGAGUGAGUAAGGUACAAGGAAAUCUCAGGGUGAAAAUUUGUAACUGCUACUCUUAAUAUCUAGUAAAGAAAUCUCUUAUGUUGUAAGAGUACUGGACGUAACCUUCAAUGGACAAGAAGGUGAACUAAUAUAAAAAUCUUCGAGUAAUCUCUUCUUCCUUAUCUCCUUAAAUUUAUUUGAUAUUUUGUUGCAUAACUUUUUCUGCUGCUACUAACUCCAAUAAUUACAGAAAAAUCUGACAUAGAUUUAAGACAACUAAUUCACCCUCCCUCUUAGUUGCUAUCUCAAUCUUAUAAUUGGCACCAUAGCUUUUUUUUGAGUAAAUUAUUCUCAAAACUGAUCUUGUAUCUAAGAUGGUCUGAAGAUCAUUUCUGGGAGAAGGUUCCAACAUCAGCCGCCCUCCAAGUUUUGUUGGAGAAUGCUAUGACUUCUGGAAAAUCAGAAUGAGAAUCUUUAUAGAAUCUCAAGAUCUGGAUAUUUGGAAUGCGAUUGAAGAAAGACCCUAUGAACCCUUCACCAUUGUCAAUAGUGUAAGGGAAGUAAAGCCAAAAUCUUCAUGGAAUCAUGAAGACCAAAAUAAGGUGCAAUACGAUCUCAAAUCAAAGAACAUCCUCACUUCAACACUUGGCAUCAAUGAAUUCUUUAGAGUAUCGAACUGAAAAUCUACUAAAGAAAUGUGGGAUACUCUAGAGACUACACACGAAGGAACUGAGGAAGUCAAAAGGUCGAUACUCAACACGCUCUCCCAUGAAUACAAAAUGUUUCAUAUGAAGCCUAGAAUGAAAAUACUAGAUUUACAAAAGAGAUUUACUCACCUUAAAAAUCUUCUUAUUGCACUUGGAAAAAACAUAUCAAAUAGUGACUUGAACUUAAACGUUCUAAGAUCACUCACCAAAACAUGGCAACCAAAAGUAACAUCCAUUUCUGAAAAUAAAAGUUUAUAAAAAAUGUCCUUGGCUGCUUUAUUUGGUAAAUUGCAGGAACACAAAUUGCAACUCAGCCAACUUGAACAACAUGAAAUGCAAGAAAAGAAGAAGAAAACUAUAUCUGUCAAAGCAAAGGCAGAUAGAUAUGAGUCAUCAAGAGAUGAAUCAGAAAAAUAAAGAGAUGGAAGACAUAAGUCUUUUUGUAAAGAAGUUUAGCAAGUUCCUUAAAAGGAACAAAGGCGCUAAAACUAGACAAAUGAAGAAAUUCACCAAGAAUAAUGACGCAUCCACUUCAUACCAAAACUUCACAUGUUUUGAAUGUGGUAAGCCCGGUCACAUGAAGAUGGAUUGUCCAAAACUAAAAAAUAAUUCCUUCAAAGGGAAAAAUGAAAUGAGGACUAGACGAAGAGCCUACAUACCUUGUGAAGACAAUGAUACCAGUUCUGCCACUAAAUCAGAAAAUGAAGAACAAGUACAUCUCUCACUAAUGGCAUCUCAUCACUGUGAUGAUGAAGAGGUAAAUGAAACUAUCAUAUUUUCUUCUUCUGAAUUAAAACUUGCAUUUAAUGACUUACAUGAUGAAUAUGUCAAACUCACUAAAUUGUUUUUGAAAAAACUAAGUUAGAAGUAUUCAUAAAUGAACCAUCAUCUUCUUCAUGUCAAAACUGCAUUACUCUUGAAAAGAAAGUUUCAACAUUAAAUCUUGAACUUAAUAAAUUAAACAAGAGUAGCAAAAAUCUGGACAAGAUAAUUAAAGAUCAGAGAUAUUCUACAGACCGAAUAGGUCUCGGCUAUUCUAACAGCCAAGUUUCUAAGAAACGAAAUGUCUCAACAAAAAUAAACUUUCAGAAACAAAGUAUCGAUGCAUUUAAUCGUAUUAACAAUAAAUCUAGGAUACAUAAGCAUCACCCCAUAUGUAAUUAUUGUAAGAACCAUGGUCAUACACCAAAUACUUACAUGAUUAGAAAAUAUAGUGUGCCCUUAGUUCACUAUAGAAGGGUUAAGAAAAGUGCUAACCAUGUAGGACCAAAAGAAAAUUAGGUACCUAAUACGAUUUAAUCUGUUUUGCCAGAUAAUUUGAGAGCCAUAUGCAAUCUAUGGUACUUGGAUAUCGGUUGCUCAAAGCACAUGACAGGCGACAAAGAUAAGUUCUUUGUCCUUACUUCAAGGGACAAAUGAUAUGUUAUAUAUGGUGACAACAACAAAGAAGACAUGCUUAGAGUUGGUAGAAUCGGCAAGCCACCUUCAACAACUAUAGAAGGAGUAUUGUAUAUCGAAGGACUCAAGCAUAACUUAUUGAGAAUAAGUGAACUAUGUGACAAAGGAUUUCAUGUGGAAUUCUAUCCUAAUAAGUGCAUCAUCGAAAUUAAGGAUUCUAAAAUCUCUAAACUAUGGUAAGAGGAUAAAUAAUAUAUAUAUGAUUGACAUAAAUUCUUCUUUACCAAUAAAAUGUUUAGUUGCUAAUAAUAAUCAUAAUGCAUGGCUUUGGCAUAGGAUAAUUGCUCAUAUUCCUAUGGAUCAUUUCAAUAAGCUGAUUAAGAAAGACUUAGUUGUCGGUUUACCCAAAAUAAAGUUUGUUAAAGACAAACUAUGUAGUGUGUGAAGAAGAUCUUGCUCCUGACCUUGGCACGAUUUUGAUGAAGACACUAACAUCACAUAAAAGAAGAAAAUGAAGAAUACUUAUGAAGACAAUGAAGAUAAAGUUUCAGGGAUUUAGAAUCUAAGUCUUUAGGUACUUCUAUCCUUAUACUCCAUUAUAUACAUAUAAUAGUAAUGCUCAAAAGUAUUUUAAAAUAAAAUUGAAAACCACAAGUAUAAAUGAAAGCAAUUUUCAAAAUAUUGUGUAACAGGUUACUGGAUCUAAGUAAUAGGUUAGGGUGACUAAAUAACAGGUUACUAGAACUAAGUAACAUGUUACAUGAGUGAGAAACGAGUUAUCCAAUAAAAAUUGAUCAGAUUAACCGAUUACACUCUUUUGAGUAACCGAUUACACAAUACGGUAAAAAACAUUACUCUGUUGGACAUAACAUUUGUGUAAUCGAUUACAACUUGUGAGUAAUCAAUUACAGCCUGUGAAAAUCAAUUACUUAGUUGGACAAAAAUUUUGGGUAAUCGAUUACAUCGGUUAGGUAUUCGAUUACUGAGAGUUGUUGCAAGAGUUUUUCAGAUUCAAACAACGCAGCUUUCAUCCCAAAUGAAAUGGUUUCAUUCCAAUCGAAUCCUACCUUUUCAUAGAGGUGUUAUGAUUGAUUGGAAUGCCUAUUUAAAGGCAUUAAAACUCAUAAUUCAUAAGAUAUAACUCACAUACACAAUCUAAACUAUUCUAAAAUACUUGCUCUACACUUUUUGCAACUUUUUCUUAACUUUCAGAGUAUAUUUUCUGAAUUUGCCUUAAGUGUUGUUUCAAAGUUAUUCAUACCUUCUGAGCAUUAGUACUAAAUUGUAUAAAGAUUUGUUGGAUUUUAAGAAUUCAUAGUUUCAAAUCUUGUAAAAGCAAUUCUUGCCAUAGUUAAAGUUUUCUGCAUUCGAAGUGUUGAAUUCCUUUCUUUCACAAGUCUGUGAUAAUAAAGGGGAUAGAGUCAUUUGCAAAGGUUAUUUUCUAAAGAGUGGUAUAAGUAUUAGAGAGUGAGUAAGAUACAAGGAAAUAUCGGGGUGAGAAUUUGUAAUUGCUACUCUUAAUAUCUAGUGAAGAAAUCUCUUGUACUACAAGAGUAUUGGACGUAGCCUUCGGUGGACAAUAAGGUGAACCAGUAUAAAAUCUUUGAGCAUUUUCUUCUCCCUUAAUUUCUUAAAUUUACUUGAUAUUUUCUACAUAACUUUUUCAGUGCUAUUAACUCUUGAAUUUUGCAGAAAAAUUUGUCAUACUUUUUAAACAACUAAUUCACCCCCCUCUCUUAGUUGUCAUCUCAGUGUUACAUAGUGUUUGUCAAAUGGAUAAACAAACAAAAGCCUCUUUCAAACCUAAACAUAUGGUUUCUUCCAAUAGACCAUUACAAUUACUACACAUGGACUUAUUUGGCCCCUCAAGGACCAAAAGUUAUGGUGGUAACUAUUAUGCUCUUGUUAUAGUAGACGAUUAUUCAAGAUAUACUUGGACUCUAUUCAUGGUUCAUAAGAAUGAGACAUUCAACGCCUUUAGCAAAUAAGCUAAAAGAGUUUAAAAUGAACAAUCACUGAAAAUCGCAGCUAUAAGAAAUGAUCAUGGGGAGAAUUUCAAAAUGCUUCUUUUGAAUAAUUCUAUGAUAAUCUUGGUAUCAAUCAUAAUUUUUCUGCUCCUAGAACACAACAACAAAAUGGUGUUGUAGAGAUAAAGAAUCGAUCCUUAGAAGAACUUGAAAGUGUAAUGUGUCAAGAGAGCACUUAAGCUUGCCUAUGUUUUGAUGAAGACAAAGGACUUAGUGACAGCUUAAAGACGAAUUCAAAAAAUCAACAUGCCAAAGAUUCAAGAGCUUCAUGUCUAGACUAGAGUCUUAGAUGUGUUUUAGUUAUUGAGUGUAGGUUAGGUAAACCUAGAUGCAAAUCUCACAAAGUCUAAAAACUAUCAUAUCGUUUACAUGAGACAUGCCAUCUAGUUUAUUAUAUGUUCAUACAUUAAUCAUACAUGUUAUUUGUGCAUUUUAGGCAUAACAUAAAGGUAAUACACGUAUAGUUGAUAAUCAUAAAAUAUAAGUAGUUUACCAAUUAAUAUCAUAACUGAAAAUAUGUCAGUUAAACGAUUAAGUGAAGCUUUAAUCGAUUAACAUGAAAACAAUGUUUAACAGUUUCAACAGAUAACUGAAAAACAGAAUUCAGUUUCUCUCUAACAACCUGUUAAUCGAUUAACAGUCAACAUAAUCGAUUCACUGGAUGCAAAACAACAUUUCUAUAUAAACUUUAUUUUUAACAGAUUUCAUAUACGAAUUAAUACAUUCAUUCAUAUUAGAAUUGCUAAGUUGCAUAUUUUCGUAUUCUUUGUAUGUCAUAUAGGCAGAGAGAAUUGCAUGUGAGAUUAGAGUGAGAUAAUAUUAUGCUUAGGGAUUAACAUAUCAUGCAUUGCAUAUUAUCAAAUGUGUUCAUCAUCCUAUCUUGUUCUUGCAUGAUUCUUUCAUUACUGUUUAGAGAUUUCUUAAGGGUAGAAAUUACAUGUUCUUCAUGAUUCUGAUCUUAUACAUGUUCAUUAAUUGACCGAUUUGUAUAGCGUUUAUAGCUUGUUCUUUCUUGUAAUAUUUGAGCUAUUUGUGCUUCACAUUACUCAGUUUUUUGUGUUGUUUGUGUAACAAGGAAAGUCGUCUCUUGGUGUCGUACCACCAACGAGAUCAGAGAGUCUUCACCAAGACUUGGAGGUCUUGAAUUUAGAACAUACUCUUGGCUGGGGCUGGAUCGUAGGAAAGGUUUUCCUAGGAGAUUGGGUAAGGUCAAACCAAGGUAGAGGUUCUGGGAAUUCAAGAAGGUAGUGUUCAAGGUCUUGUAAUUGGAAGUGUGUAUGUAAGAUACAUUAGCUUCAAUUUUAAUGAAGAAAAUCUCUCAGAUCAGAGGGGAGGACUGGAUGUAGUUUUGCAGUGGACCGCAAAACAAACCAGUAUAAAAUCCUUAUUGCAGGAUGUUUCUUUCCCUUGUCUCUUUACUAUUUUAAGUAGCUUUUAAUUGCUUAUUGUAGCUGAUAUUUUGAAUAUAAUAUUACUGCCAAAUAAAGAUCAUUUAUGUUCAAAUAUAUCUGGUAUAUCAUUUACGUAUAAUCUGUAAUUGGCUGUGUAAUUGAGCCAUUCAACAACUGCUAAUUUUGUGCGACUUAAUCGAUCAAGUCAUAGCUUUAAUCGAUUAACUAGGUGAUUUUCCAGAAUAGGGCUUUGGUGCAAAUAGCGGUAAGUGGGAACNNNNNNNNNNNNNNNNNNNNNNNNNNNNNNNNNNNNNNNNNNNNNNNNNNNNNNNNNNNNNNNNNNNNNNNNNNNNNNNNNNNNNNNNNNNNNNNNNNNNCUCUAGGUGUAUUAUGUCACUAAUACCAAACAGAACUUGCUUGUACAAUGUUGAAUGAAACUAAUCUCCUAAAAAUACUUUUAGGCUGAUGCAGUUAGUACAACAUGUUAUGUUUCAAACAUAGUUCUUAUAAGACCAAUUCUCAAGAAAACCCCCUAUGAACUCUUUAAAGGAAGAAAACCAAAUAUUUCUUAUUUGCAUGUAUUUGGUUGUAAAUGUUUUGUUUUAAAUAAUGGUAAAGACAAAUUAGGCAAGUUUGAUGCAAAAAUUGAUGAAGGACUCUUCCUAGGUUACUCUCUUAUGAGUAAAGCUUAUAGAAUUUUCAAUAAAAGAACUCUAGUCAAGGAAGAAUCUGUUCGUGUGUCUUUUGAUGAAAUCAAUCCUAUAAUAAAGGAUGGGUUAACUCUUGAUGGAGAGGACUUGUGAAGUUCCCAUUUAACAAAAGAGUCUUUUACCAAUGCAACAACUAAUACUCAGCAUUUGAAAAUGAAUGAUACUCUAUCUUAUCAAGAAGAGCAUAUUCAUUCUGAUUUACCAAAAUAAUGGAGAACUCAUCGAGAUCAUCCUAUUAACAACAUCAUUGGCGACAUAAGUAAGGGUGUCACUACCCGUUUAAAGCUAAAUGAUGCUUAUUUAAACAUGGCCUUCAUUUCUCAAAUAAAACCUUCCAAGAUUGAUGAUGCAAUCGAGGAUGAACAUUGGAUUCUUGCUAUACAGAAAUAUUAAACCAGUUUGAGAGAAAUGAAGUUUGGGAACUUAUUCCUAGACCGUAUGAUAAGCAUGUUAUAGGAACUCGUUGGGUAUUCCAAAAUAAAUCAGAUGAAAAUGGAAUUAUCGUUAGAAAUAAAGCUAGUCUGGUAGCACAAGGAUACAAUCAGGAAGAAGGAAUAGAUUUUGAUGAAACCUUCGCUCCUGUUGCUAGACUUGAAAUUAUUCAGUUAUUACUUGCAUAUGCUUGCUCUCUAAAUUUGUAGUUAUAUCAAAUGGACGUAAAGAGUGUAUUUCUUAAUGGCUAUAUACAAGAAGAAGUGUUUGUAGAACAACCUCUAGGUCUUGAAGACUACAAGCAUCUGUCUCAUGUAUAUAAACUAAAGAAAGCUCUCUAUGGUUUAAAGCAAACUCGUCACGCUUGGUAAAAUCGUCUAACCAAAUUUCUUCUUGUAAAAGGCUUUACCAAAGGAAAGGUCGACAAUAUAAUUUUUCUUAAGAAAAUAAAUCAUCAUACUCUUCUUGUUCAAAUAUAUGUAGAUAAUAUUAUUUUUGGUUCUACUCAUGAGAUUUUGUGUAGUGAUUUUGACAAAAUGAUGCAAGGGGAGUUUGAAAUGUCUAUGACGGGGAUGUUAAAUUACUUCCUUGGAUUACAAAUCAAACAACUCGAGGAUAAUAUUUUUGUAUGUCAGACCAAAUUCUGCAGAGACAUGCUGAAAAGAUUUCAAAGGAUGACUACAAGCUAAUUGCCACUCCUGUGGGUUCUAGUACAUACAUCGAUACAUAUGAAGCUGAAAAAUGCAUUGACAUAUCAAAAUAUUGAGGUAUGAUUGGUUCCCUGCUUUAUCUAACUUUCAGUAGACCUGAUAUAAUGUUUAAUGUCUGUUUGUAUGCACGUUAUUAAUCAAAACCAAGAGAAUCACAUUUAGUUGUUGUCAAAAGAAUCAUGAAAUAUCUAAAAAGCACAACUGACGAUAGAUUUUGGUAUCCAAAAGAAAGUAUCUGUGAUUUGGUAGGAUAUUCAUAUUCAAAUUUUGCUGGAUGCAAAACUGAGAGAAAAAGCACAAGUGGUACUUGUCAUAUAUUAGGAAAUUUACUAGUCUCAUGGUCAUGCAAGAAACAAGCUUGUGUUGUCCUAAGUACUGUUGAAACAUAAUAUAUAGCGGCAUGUAGUUGUUGUGCCCAAGUGUUGUGGCUUAAACAAAAAUUAUGAGAUUAUGGCUUAGACUUAGGCUGCAUUCCCCUAAAAUGUGACAAUACUAGUGCUAUAAAUCUCACAAAGAAUCUAGUAAUGCAUUCUAGAACCAAACACAUAGAUAUAAGACAUCACUUCCUUAGGGAUCAUGUCCAAAAUAAAGAUGUGUCUGUAGAAUUUGUUGAUACUCAUGACCAACUAGCAGAUAUUUUCACUAAACCUUUGACAAAAGAUCUUUUUUAUAAAAUCAGACGAGAAUUAGGCAUACUUGAUGAAGCUCACUUGUCUUAAAAUGUUUAUACAUGAUCAUAUGUUUGCUUCAUUAUGUUUAUCUAAUGCCUACUUGUACUUACUAUUGCUUAAUUUUGUUUAGAAUUUUCAUUUAUGGGGUAUAUAAUCGAUUACUUUAUGAAAAUAAUCAAUUAUCAGGCGUCAGUAUGCCUGAAAAUUCGAAAUUCUGGGGUCAGUAACCGAUUACUCUAGAGAGUAAUCGAUUACUGCAUCAGGUAGAAACUUUCAGUAAUCGAUUACCCAUAUGCAUAAUCGAUUACCUAAGGCUGCUGUUUGAAAUCUGGGAAUUUUCUAUGUUGAGUAACCGAUUACUCACUUUGAGUAACCGAUUACUCUGACCAGUAUUUAAGUUUUCCUCCUCGUUUUUCAAACACUUCUUCUUCUUCCUCAAACCUCUCUUUUCGUGUUUGCCCUAAUUUUCCUCUAAAAACCUCAAUUCCAUAAAUUUCGUGUUUAGUGGGCUAAACCAAAAAUAUCCAAAUCUCUCAAACCUCAAAAACCUAAUUUUUCAAUACUUCAAUCAAAUGGCUUCAUCAUCAAGAGCUAAAAAGCAACAUACCAGUUUGUCUCAAAAGAAGCAAGGUACUUCAUCUUUUGAAGCUAACCCUCUGGAUUUGGCAUGUCUUCUCGCCUAUGAUGAACAAUGCAAAGUUUUCUCAGAGCAUUUCCUUGGUCGAUCAAUAUUUCCUCCUAAGUAUGGCAAUGUAAGUAACUUUGAGUUUAAAGAUUUCCAUUUCCCUAUUCUACUUAGGCAAAAAGAUCUUUUUGAUUUCUGUGAGGAAUCAAAUGCCUACUAUCCUGAACUUUGGGAAGAAUCAUUUAACAUCCUAUGUGAAAGGAAAAUAAAUUAUUUUAGAUGUUAAAACCUUCAGUUCAAUAUGUUGUAAUAUACCUUACCAAGGAAGCAUAAAAGAUUUCGGUCUUGCAUAUGAAUGGGAUAACUAUAAUAGAAAAGAGUUCUACUACUCUAUGUGUAGAUUCUCUAAACGGGAAAUAAAAAUGCGUAAGCAACUGACUUUAUGUGAAACUGUAAAAAGUAGAGAUAUCCUCGCUAUAGGAAAUCUCAAUCUCAAAGAUCGUUUGCUUCAUUACUUUCUUAGCUAUGUCAUUCUUCCAAAAUUUUCAAAUCAUUCUCAAAUUAAUGACAUGGAUCUACAAUUGAUGUAUGCUCUUAAGCAUAACCUUUCAAGCAAUUGGGCUGUAACAGUAAUGAGACAAAUAUGGUAUGUACGAGAGACUCACAACCAUUUGCCUUAAGCAAUCUUCAUUACCAAAGUACUUGAGCAUUUUGGUGUAUCCACUACUAGUGAAUCAAAAGUCACACUUGAUGCAUGCGAUUGUAAGAUUGAUGUGGAUUUGAUCCACAAAAUGGGUUUCUUUCGAGAUCCCAUUGACAAAAUCUAUAAGCAUCGAAGUGAUAGACAAGCUGCACUUGUUGAUCCAAAUGUCUCUACUAACCCUCCUGAACAUCAACCUUCUGAUUUUCAUGAUGAGUCUUCUUCAUUUUCUGCCAUGCCUACUAAUCAGAUGAUCAUGGACAUGUUAUUCUCUCUUCGAGGCUAGAUCUCUAAUCGAAUGGAUGCUCUUGAUGCUCAAAAUCAACAAGUCCAAUUCGAACUUCAAAGUCUUUCUUAUAAGAUCAAUAGUAUGGACCUUGAUGACGAUAGCACUAAGUCUGAGUCUUAGAGUAUUUUUUUGUCUAGGAUUUCUAUCUAUAAUGAUUGCAUAAUUGUGAAGAAUUUGUUGUUGUAGUUUUUCUGGUUAUGUUUGAACAAUGUAUGACAAUUGUUUAAGUUGUAUGCUAUGUUACCUUUGUGUUUGCUAUAUACAUAUUGUAUGUGUGUUGGCCUCUUGGCCUUUCUUCUUUUGAUGAAGUCAAAAGGGGAGAAAAUUUGGGAGAAAAAUAUUUUCUGUUUAAACUUUUCUCAGGCACAACUUCAAAUCAAGGGGGGAGCAUACAAAAUAGGGGGAGCAUACUCAAGUCAAGUCAAAAUAUCACAAAAUAUGCUACUCUCAGAAAACUACGCCGUCAAGAAGAUAUUGAUUUGUCAUCAUCAAAAAGGGGGAGAUUGUGAAGAAUAUCUUGCUCCUAACCUUGACAUGGUUUUGAUGAAGACACCAACAUCACAUAAAGAAGAAAAGGAAGAAUACUUAUGAAGACUAUGAAGAUAAGUCUUCAAGGAAUUAGAGUCUAAAGUCUAUAGGUACUUCUAUCCUUAUACUCUAUAAUAUAAAAUUCCUACUAAUUCUAAAAAAUAUUUUAAAAGAAAAAUGAAAACUAAAGUAUAAAUGAAAACAAUUUUGAAAAUAUUGUGUAACAAGUUACUGGAUCUAAGUAACAGAUUACAUGAGUGAGAAACAAGUUAUCCAACAAAAACUGAACAAGGUAAUCGAUUACACCCAUUUGAGUAACUGAUUAUACAUUGUAAAGACAUUCUUAUAAAAUUAAGCAUUCUUAUAACUCAAUUUGUUUAUUUAUAAGACUUCUGAGCAGAAACUUCCCAACAUAAUCGAAUAUCUGAGUUGAGUUGUGACUAUGAUAGUCAUAUUGAGACACGUUAUGAUGAGUGCAAUUAUAAAAAUGGAAAGAUGCUAGGAAUAAGAUGCAUAUAAUUUUAAUUUAUAAUGAUAGAAGUCUAAACCAUCUAGAAAAUCCUUUUGAUUAUGAGAGGGAAAGACCCUUUGAAGAAAACAAUGAUUUUUUGUGAUGAAAAAGAACUUGAUCGCAUGCAACUUAUGGAGAUGACAAUAAUUCAUGUCAUGCCAAUAACGAUAAAAAAAAUCAAGUUAUUGGAAUUUUGUUGAGAAGUUAAGGAAAUAGGACUUGCAAGAGAAAAGCUUAGAUAUAUUACUCUAUGUGGUGUGCCUUUGCUGCCGAGCAAAGCUCACGAGGGCACUAAUAUUAUUCCAAGCAGAUUCUUGGAAUCUAAAGAUUAACAAGGUCAAUGACGUAUUUGACAUGUUAUAAAAGAUUAUGAUAUGGAGGAUUGAAAAUAACAUUGAUGGAGUCAUAGAUGAAUAUUUUAAUUUCGAAAAUGUUAGUUUCUAUUAAUUCUAACGGAUAGUGAUAUUCUAAGACUAUGUAGGAUUUUCCCGCAUAAUGAUAUACUGAUAUUCCCAUUGCUCAAUAACAUUUUUGUCCUUCUUGUAAAUUAUUCACCUAGAUUCUUAUAAAUUCAUCUUCAUUCAAUUCAUAAUUUCAAUUAUUCUUUACUUAACCAUAGUUCCACAUUUUCAUCAAUGAGAACAUAUUUUUAAAUCAUCUUUAAAAAUAUUUCUCCAAGGAGAAUUCACAAUUACUCAAUUAUCUGCAAAGAUUUAAUCGAUUAACUGUAACUUUAAUCGACUAAUUAUUUGCUAAAUAUACUUAGUUAAUAUUUCAUGAACCUCUAACAUAAUUAACUAAUCCAUGAUGCAUGAUUUUGAUAUGAUAUAAGUUCAACUUAAUUUAAUGCACAUAUAUGAAUGAAUAUCUCAUAUGCAUCAUGUUCAUCAUUCUAACAUGUGAGAUUAUUAUUAGGUUAAAAAUUAAAGAUAUUAAAAUGGAAUGUUUACUUUUUUAUUUUGCAUCAAGUUUAUGAUAUGCUUUCCUAAUAUAUCAUUUAUCAUCAUAUAAUUAAUGAUUUCUUUUACUACUAAAUUAAAUCAAAAGAAUAUUAAAUACGUUUACACUUGACAAAUAUUCAUACAUAUUGGUAUUGCAAUUCAUUCACUGUGCUAGAAGGGUUGUGAAUGAUGGUUGUUUGCGCAUAAGUUAGUUUUUGGAGAAAAUAAUUGUUAUGUAAAUGUUGGUGGUGCAAUCAUUUUGAUAUUAGAAUAUUUGAAGAUAUAAUUUAAAAAAAAACUUUAGAUUUGUGAAUGAUGAUUCUUUAAACCUCUGUUGAUUUUCUUGAAGAUUUAGCCUAUUCUUGCAAAAUAAGAAUCAUCUGAUGAACUUCUUAUUUUGGUUUAUAAAUGUAUAAAACAUGAUGAGAUUUUGGUUUAUAAAUGUAUAAAACAUGAUGAGAUUUUGAUUUCUUCCAUCAUAUAUAUAUAUAUAUAUAUAUAUAAUAAAACAAUUCAUAUCAAUGUAAUUAUUUCUUACAUUCUUUUACCUAAUUUUAAUCUUUUAUAAUUUGUCAAAUUUAUUUAAUUAGUACAUAAACACAUUUGCUUAAUAUAUACAAUAAUCAAUUAAAUAAAAACAAUUAAAAUUAAACAAAACCUUCCAAUGAUAAUAUGAGAUAUUAAGUAAGAUAAUUCUAAACAAGAAACUAAAACAAAAAAGCUCCAGUGCUAAUGAUCUGUGUUUUUAUCUUGGAUUCAUUUUGAAAUUAUGAUAAUUUAGUUGAGAAGUCCGUGAAAGUCUUCUUCUUUUAAGUGAGAAGUAAAUAUAAUAUCAACGGAGGAGUGCAAUAAAUAUAUGUAUAACUAUAUUAGUUAAGUUAGUGAAACACAAAUAGAUAUAUGAAGGGCAUUGCAUGCAAAACUUAUAAGGUUGAUUUUUUAUUAGCAAUAGAUCAAAGGUACAACUAUAGUUUUAUUUUGUCUCGUGGAUCAUUAUGACCUCUUACAUAAUAGUAGUUUUAAUAACAACUUAGUAAAGAGCGCUCAAAAUGGAAGAGAUGGGACCCCUUCUUCCACGUCUUCCCUCUUUCUCUCUUUGUUGUUGUUGUUGCUGAGGCUGAGCAUUUGCAAAGUAAGAUUGUUGUUGGUUCCUGAUUAACCUCUCAACAUCUUCAGCAGAACCAGGGAAUAUGAGCUCCUUCACUUCUCUAUCUAACUGCCUUAUCACAUUGUCUUCAGAACCUUUCAAUUUUCAAUAAUUUCCAAACAUAACAAUGAGUUAGUAACACGGAAACCAAAGUCAUUGAGCAAACAUAUUUUUUUAUAUUGAGGUGUUCGUGCCAAAAGUAGACUUUGUCCUCGCAUUGGCUUUGUUCAAGGAUAUAGUUGGUGAUCUGGCGGUCAAUUUUAACAUUGUGUAUCUAUCUUUUAAGCUACUCGUUUAUGUUAAAGUAAGAUAUAAUUAUUUAUAGUGUAUCGUGUUGAAUUGUACUAUUGUACCUGCAAGGAAAUUCCUCUGGUUUUCAUCAGCGUUGAUGCCAAAUCCUAGCAAGCGAAGAUUUGAGGAGGCGUUGAUAGAAAGUGGAUGACCUGCUGGAAUUACCAAAAUGUCACCUUCUGAUAAUCUAGCAUUGUAGCUUCUCACUUCUUCCACUUCUUGCUCAUCUUGUUGUCGUUGUUGAUUUCUUAUACCCACCAGUUCAUAAUUUCCUUCACCUUCAUCAACCACAAUUACAAAUAUGGCCUUUGAGUUAUAGUGUGGCAGCAACAAAGCUCCCUAAGAUAAACAAAACCAAGUCAUUAGUAUUAGUAUUGUUGUCUAAGAUGCAACACUAGUGAAUAAGUAUAAGGAAUUGUGUGUAUGGUUAUUUGCGAUGCGAUAUAUGUAAUAUACCUCACUAAUUUCUGUGAAGAUGAGAGAGAUAUCCAAAUCUUGAACUUGUGGGUUUCUAUCAGGGGUGAUCUCGUAGAAGUUGCCAAACUUAUUUGAAUAUAUGGGUUCAUUGCUUCUCAAGUUGAAGGGACCAGAUUCAGAGGGUUUGCCUUUUCUUGAUGAAGAUUGAGCAUGUUUUCUCAAUUCCUGGAUCUGUUCCUUUGACACUCUCACUAUCACUCCCUCAUCUUGGUGGCUCUGCUCUUGCUCACGCCUUUGUUCCUCAUCUUCUUGCUCGUCCUCAUAUCCUAAAAGAAUCCUUUGUAUCUCUUCAUAAUGGGUCUGUAUAUGAAAUCAUAACAAACAAACACAUGACCACUAUUAUAUAUACUAAAUAAAUAAAUAAGCAAUCAACGUAGAUAAGAUGUGAUACAUUGAAGGUGGCCUCUAAAGUGUUCUUGCUGAAGCCGCUGAAGUAGGAUUGUUGGUCUUUAGUUCUUGAAGGGUAGAAAUCCUAUACAUAUAUAGAGUCAGAGAGAAAGGAUGAAGAAAUUAAAAUUAGACGGUGUUAGAUAUGCAAUAGGUGUGAAAGAAAGUGAGAUGACAUACUAAUAAAAGAUUAUAUGAUAGGAGAAAGAACAUUACAUAAAAUUUGCCGGGAUUGUUGAUGGGUAUUGCGAGUUUGACUACUCUAAGAUCCUGGUUGUCAUCCGGGUUAAGGAUAUAAGAAGUUGUACCAGCUGGGAGUCUGAGAGCAUCACCAUACUCAAGGUUGUAUGCUUGUCUUUUAUCAGGAUUCACUAUUGUGAUGGUGGCUCUACCUAAAAUCCCAAAUAAUGACUAAAAUAAAUAAUUUAUUCUCAUUAAUUAAUCACUUGAAAUGAAUACUAGUAGCAAGUAAGGUUUAAAAUUUAGGUUCGUGACUGCCAUAUAUGUCGAUAUGUCAUGGUUUCGAUAGUCUCCAAAACUAUGAUCUCUAUUUAAAACCUUGAUAAAAAUUACCAUUGAGUACAACGAGGAUGUAGUCAGCAUCAGAGUGUUUGGGGAGAAUUAGAGUGUUCGGUCUGGAUUGGAACUCAACAAUGCGGUAGUUUUGGAGAUUCUCAAGUCUAUUAGUUCUCUGGUCAAACCUCUCGAGCACACGGAUUUGACCGUUCUUAUUCUUGUAACGAGUUUGAAAUCUUUCAGAGCUGAAAUAAUAAGGGUUCCUUAGUCUGUGUGACUCUGAGCUAGAACCUUGCUCUUGCUCUCUCUCUUCCCUCUGCUCCCUCCCCUCAUGGCGUUGUCUCCUCCCAUAAUCACUUUGUCUGCCUGAGCUAGAUCCUUGCUCUUGCUCCCUCUCUUCCCUCUGCUCCCUCUUCUCAUGCCGGUGUCUUCUCUCAUCACCACUCUGCCUACGUGACUCUGAGCUAGAGCCUUGCUCUUGUUCUCUCUCUUCCCUUCUUCUUUGAGGUCGUUGUCUCCUUGCUUGCCCCUCUUCCUCUUCUUCUCCUUUUUCUUCUUCCUCAUGUCUUCUUCCAUACUGAGGUUGUUGUUCUUGCUCCCUCUCCCUGUCAUGUUCUUUCCUUCGUUCACGCUCUUCCUCUUGGCUUUGUUUGCUCUCACUCCUACCACGUGAAGGCUCACGAUCACGCUCCUUCUCUCUCCUAUGCUCUCUUUCUUGUUCCUCCUGCUGGCGAGAACGUGGUGGUUGUCUUGGAUCACGCUCCUCCUCUUGUCUUUCCUCAGGCCUCUCAGGAUUCUUAAUCACAUCUUUCUCUCCAUAAGCAAUACCAAUUG